rnacentral:rRNA from 1 species
GCAGCGCGGACUUCGGUCUGGCGGCGAGUGGCGAACGGGUGAGUAAUAUAUCGGAACGUGCCCAGUAGCGGGGGAUAACUACUCGAAAGAGUAGCUAAUACCGCAUACGCCCUACGGGGGAAAGGGGGGGAUCGCAAGACCUCUCACUAUUGGAGCGGCCGAUAUCGGAUUAGCUAGUUGGUGGGGUAAAGGCCCACCAAGGCUACGAUCCGUAGCUGGUUUGAGAGGACGACCAGUCACACUGGGACUGAGACACGGCCCAGACUCCUACGGGAGGCAGCAGUGGGGAAUUUUGGACAAUGGGGGAAACCCUGAUCCAGCCAUUCCGCGUGUGCGAUGAAGGCCUUCGGGUUGUAAAGCACUUUUGGCAGGAAAGAAAUCGCACAACUUAAUACGUUGUGUGGAUGACGGUACCUGCAGAAUAAGCACCGGCUAACUACGUGCCAGCAGCCGCGGUAAUACGUAGGGUGCAAGCGUUAAUCGGAAUUACUGGGCGUAAAGCGUGCGUAGGCGGUUAUUUAAGUCAGAUGUGAAAUCCCCGGGCUCAACCUGGGAACUGCAUCUGAUACUGGGUAACUAGAGUGUGGGAGAGGAGAGUGGAAUUUCCGGUGUAGCGGUGAAAUGCAUAGAGAUCGGAAGGAACAUCAGUGGCGAAGGCGACUCUCUGGACCAACACUGACGCUGAGGUACGAAAGCGUGGGUAGCAAACAGGAUUAGAUACCCUGGUAGUCCACGCCGUAAACGAUGUCAACUAGCCGUCAGGCCCGCUUUAGGGUUUGGUGGUGGAGCUAACGUAUUAAGUUGACCGCCUGGGGAGUACGCUCGCAAGAGUAAAACUCAAAGGAAUUGACGGGGCCCGCACAAGCGGUGGAGCAUGUGGUUUAAUUCGAUGCAACGCGAAGACCUUACCUGGUCUUGACAUGUAGUGAACUUUGCAGAAAUGUAUGUGCCUUCGGAACACUACACAGUGCUGCACGCUGUCGUCAGCUCGUGUCGUGAGAUGUGGGUAGUCCCGCACGAGCGCACUCCUUAUCCUAGUGCAGC